rnacentral:lncRNA from 1 species
ACAUACUUUAUAGUUUCUUUUAUUUUUCUCAUUUCUCAUAUUUCUUUUAGAGAACUUAUUCCGUGAUAUUGUUUAGUACUUUUAAGCUAUUGUGUAAGGGAUGUUAACCUUAAUAUUUUAUUUCGCUUUCGCACUCAGAUUAUUAUAUGUAUUUUUUUUUGAAUUUUCGGGGCCGUUACACAUUUCAUAUCUAAUGAACAAGAAUAGCGACUUACAUUUUUACAUGUUUACCAGUAUUUUUGGGGAUCCAUAAGGGUCCCCCUUAUGCAUGGGCCUAAUAUU